AAGCACGAAAAUAUUCGUAUGACAUGAACAAACUUGCUUGAUGACAACUUUGCUCAGUCAAAUACUUAUUAUCUAUCAAUUACGUAUUUACAGAAGUCUUGAUUUGAACUACAUUUAUGCGUUUAUUUGCUAAACCUAGUCUUCCCCAAUGUUGUUUUCUUCUUAUUUCAGACAUCCUAAUGUAAUUAUAUUGACAACAUCGAACAUAACUAGAGCCAUAGACGUUGCGUUCGUGGACAGAGCCGACAUCAAACAGUAUAUUGGUCCGCCAUCAGCCAAAGCUAUUUACAAAAUUUACCAUUUGUUUACCAGUAUCAUAUCACCAGCCACUCAAAUUUUGGAUUUAAGGUACAACUGAAAAAAUACACGAAAUUUUAUUUUGACGAAAA